rnacentral:rRNA from 1 species
UACGUAGGGUGCAAGCGUUAAUCGGAAUUACUGGGCGUAAAGCGUGCGCAGGCGGUUAUGUAAGACAGUUGUGAGAUCCCCGGGCUCAACCUGGGAACUGCAUCUGUGACUGCAUAGCUAGAGUACGGUAGAGGGGGAUGGAAUUCCGCGUGUAGCAGUGAAAUGCGUAGAUAUGCGGAGGAACACCGAUGGCGAAGGCAAUCCCCUGGACCUGUACUGACGCUCAUGCACGAAAAGCGUGGGGAGCAAACGGG